rnacentral:rRNA from 1 species
CUCAGUAACACGUGGAUAACCUGCCCUUAGGACUGGCAUAACCCCGGGAAACUGGGGAUAAUUCCGGAUAGUUCAUGGUAGCUGGAAUGCUCCAUGAUCGAAAGCUAUUGCGCCUAAGGAUGGGUCUGCGGUCUAUCAGGUAGUAGUGGGUGUAAUGUACCUACUAGCCGACGACGGAUACGGGUUGUGGGAGCAAGAGCCCGGAGAUGGAUUCUGAGACAUGAAUCCAGGCCCUACGGGGCGCAGCAGGCGCGAAAACUUUACAAUGCGGGAAACCGCGAUAAGGGGACACCGAGUGCCAGCAUCUUAUGUUGGCUGUCCGCAUGUAUAAAUCACAUGUGUUAGCAAGGGCCGGGCAAGACCGGUGCCAGCCGCCGCGGUAACACCGGCGGCCCGAGUGGUGGCCACUAUUAUUGGGUCUAAAGGGUCCGUAGCCGGUUUGGUCAGUCUUCCGGGAAAUCUGACGGCUUAACCGUUAGGCUUUCGGGGGAUACUACCAGGCUUGGGACCGGGAGAGGUAAGAGGUACUACGGGGGUAGGAGUGAAAUCUUGUAAUCCUCGU